rnacentral:rRNA from 1 species
UAGGGAAUCUUCCACAAUGGACGCAAGUCUGAUGGAGCAACGCCGCGUGAGUGAAGAAGGUUUUCGGAUCGUAAAGCUCUGUUGUUGGUGAAGAAGGAUAGAGGCAGUAACUGGUCUUUAUUUGACGGUAAUCAACCAGAAAGUCACGGCUAACUACGUGCCAGCAGCCGCGGUAAUCCGGAGGUGGCAGGCGUUGUCCGGAUUUAUUGGGGGUAAAGCGAGCGCAGGCGGAAUGAUAAGUCUGGUGUGAAAGGCAACGGUCCAACCGUGGAACUGCAUCGGAAAUGGUCAGUCUUGAGUGGAGAAGAGGAGAGUGGAAUUCCAUGUGUAGCGGUGGAAUGAGUAGAUAUAUGGAAGAACACCAGUGGCGAAGGCGGGUCUCUGGUCUGCAACUGACGCUGAGGCUCGAAAGCAUGGGGAGCGAACAGG